CGACUCGAGCGCCAGCGAGAGAACGUUGCCACAGGCAACGGCCCGAAGGGCGAGGCGCUUUAGCGCCGAGUAAUCCUUCCCCCACCACCA
rnacentral:sRNA from 1 species